CUAUCACCAAGUUAAAAUGAUGAUAAUAAUAUAGACGACUUCACAGUUUCAGAAUAACUAUUGGAUUGAAUAUUCGGGUUGUAAAGGUUGUAAAACUAGGUACUUGUGAAUGAACUUAUUAAAUAUUGAGGGGUAAGAAAUGAACAUGUCAAGUCUAAAGAAGAGGAAAUUAGCUGAGUUAGGGGAAUAACUAUUCUAUAACUAGAAUAGGGGAAUAGAGGGACUCUCAUUCACAGUAUAAUCUCUGGAUUUAAGAUUAUAUGAAAAUAUACACAAAAACAAGGAGCUCCGAACACACUUGUUCUGUUCUACUACUUUAUACAAAAGAUAUCGUCUAUAAUUAUCUUUUAUACAAAAAAGAUAAUUAGCCUAUUAGCUAUACAAAUGCUCACCGCAGCCAUAUUUAUAGUUGGAAAAACUUACAAGUAACUUAAAAUUUUAAACAGCAGUGUUUUCUACCCUUUAUCAUUUGUCUGUCAUCAUCAGAAUUUGUACCAAACCCUAGUCAUCGAUACAUUAUCAUUUACUUAAUAU
rnacentral:lncRNA from 1 species